AGAUGGUCUAUCGCUUUCAGCAGGUUUCUUGCUCAUGGUCUAUGGGUUACACCUUGGAGGAGGUAGUUCUCUCUUCUCUCUAAGUUUCUAAUCUUUGAAUGGACGGCACCUGCAAAACAUGGUAGCUGUUGAUCAGAACAUAGAAGUUGACUGGAACCCAUACAAGAAGCUCCAUCUAAUGCUUGGUUAACAAAUUUAAAUGUUAUUGUAGCAGUAAUAA